rnacentral:lncRNA from 1 species
AUAAAUUCCAACAAAUUCAAAAAAUCGAUUCCUGCAACAAAUUUAAGAAAUUCCUAACCAAAAAAAAGAAGAGCUAGCUUCGCCUUGAAGCUACUCGCGCAGGAGAGGCGUCCACGGCCAGAUCUCCCUCUGUUUCAGGCACCACCGUAUCAAAGGGCCGGCCUUCUUCAUCCUGGAUGAAGCCAUCCACGGCCAGAUCUCCCUCCGUUUCAGGCACCACAGUGUCCGGCUCCAAAGCCGAAGAUGGAAAGGACAAAGCUUCAAAGUGGGUCGCCGUCAAAACGUCUGAAAAUGUCGGAUAAGACUCCGUCAUUGGUGUCGUAUCACCGAGAACCAAAGGGGGUAACAGCAAAUCGGAUGAUUCAUCGGUAGAAUCACAAGUGGUGCCGAGUUCCAUCGGAGAUGGUAACAGAUCUGGUGAUUCUUCGAUAGAAUCACCGGUUGAACAGAGACAAGUGAGAAUCAGUUCGGAGGCCGAAGGGGAAAUCGGCGAAGAAAGAUUUUCCGAGUGAGGCGGCGCGAGGGGUUUUUAGAGACAAGUGGGAGAAAUAAUGUUGGAGGGGGGGUUUAAUUUUUUACGUUAAAGGGAGAUUUAAUUAUGCCAGUUAAUUAGGUCAUCCACACUUAAUUAAGGAAUAGUUAGGGUGUUUAAAUUGGAUUUUUGGUGGGCCCAACAAUGGCAACUAAAGUAAAUUGUGAAACAAAAUAAGGGUAAAU